AGACCCGAAACCCGGUGAUCUAGCCAUGGGCAGGUUGAAGGUUGGGUAACACUAACUGGAGGACCGAACCGACUAAUGUUGAAAAAUUAGCGGAUGACCUGUGGCUGGGGGUGAAAGGCCAAUCAAACCGGGAGAUAGCUGGUUCUCCCCGAAAGCUAUUUAGGUAGCGCCUCGUGAAUUCAUCUCCGGGGGUAGAGCACUGUUUCGGCUAGGGGGCCAUCCCGGCUUACCAACCCGAUGCAAACUGCGAAUACCGGAGAAUGUUAUCACGGGAGACACACGGCGGGUGCUAACGUCCGUCGUGAAGAGGGAAACAACCCAGACCGCCAGCUAAGGUCCCAAAGUCAUGGUUAAGUGGGAAACGAUGUGGGAAGGCCCAGACAGCCAGGAUGUUGGCUUAGAAGCAGCCAUCAUUUAAAGAAAGCGUAAUAGCUCACUGGUCGAGUCGGCCUGCGCGGAAGAUGUAACGGGGCUAAACCAUGCACCGAAGCUGCGGCAGCGAACGUAUCACCCAAGACAACUUUACGGAGUUGACGAUUGACGGAGCGAAGCGACGUCAAAGCGUUCAUUAAAGUCGAGUUGGCUUAGGGAUACGUUCGUUGGGUAGGGGAGCGUUCUGUAAGCCUGUGAAGGUGUGUCGUGAGGCAUGCUGGAGGUAUCAGAAGUGCGAAUGCUGACAUAAGUAACGAUAAAGCGGGUGAAAAGCCCGCUCGCCGGAAGACCAAGGGUUCCUGUCCAACGUUAAUCGGGGCAGGGUGAGUCGACCCCUAAGGCGAGGCCGAAAGGCGUAGUCGAUGGGAAACGGGUUAAUAUUCCCGUACUUGGUGUUACUGCGAAGGGGGGACGGAGAAGGCUAUGUUGGCCGGGCGACGGUUGUCCCGGUUUAAGCGUGUAGGCUGGUUUUCCAGGCAAAUCCGGAAAAUCAAGGCUGAGGCGUGACGACGAGGCACUACGGUGCUGAAGCAACAAAUGCCCUGCUUCCAGGAAAAGCCUCUAAGCAUCAGGUAACAUCAAAUCGUACCCCAAACCGACACAGGUGGUCAGGUAGAGAAUACCAAGGCGCUUGAGAGAACUCGGG
rnacentral:rRNA from 1 species